rnacentral:rRNA from 1 species
CAUUACCGUACUUUAUACUAACAAGUAUAUAAAAGCAAAACGAGGAGUUUACAAGUUGAACGAGAAAAAAAAAAUGUGUUUUACUUGAAAAAAAUUUCCAAGUUUUAGCAACCUUUCAACAGAGUCUCUUUGUGUAUAGAAUCUGUUGACGUGUUUGUACCAGUGUUGUCUUGCACGUUAAAUACCCCAAGUUUGAGAUUUGAAAAAUGUAAAAUAUCAUCUCUUACUUUAACGCUCACUCGCGUAAGCGGGGAGCAAUGCAUUAUUCAAAUGUGAAUAAUAAAAUAAAAACAAAAAAAAAGACAAAAAUCAACCUCGAGUGGUGGAUCACUCGGCUCGUGGGUCGAUGAAGAACGCAGCUAACUGCGUGCAGACGUGUGAACUGCAGGACACAUGAACACCGACAUUUUGAACGCAUAUGGCGGUCUGAAAUAACUUUCAGACCAUGUUUGGCUGAGGGUCGGAUAUAAAACAAAAACCAAAGUUGCAACUUUCAAGUUGUCUAAGUACGCCAAAUUGUAUAGUUUGGUUAGAACUAAAUGUGGUAGUGACUACUAUAAUUUUGAAUCAAUCUGAAUUACUGUAGUCAACUGCUUAACAUUGUACAAGAAAAAUAUAAAACUUUUUCAUAUUUGCGACCUCAGAGCAAGCAAGAUUACCC